rnacentral:rRNA from 1 species
UGGCUGCAGUCGAGGAUCUUCGGCAAUGGGCGCAAGCCUGACCGAGCGACGCCGCGUGCGGGAUGAAGGCCUUCGGGUUGUAAACCGCUGUCGUAGAGGAGGAAAUGCAGGAGGGUUCUCCCUCCUGUUUGACCUAUUCUAGGAGGAAGGACGGGCUAAGUUCGUGCCAGCAGCCGCGGUAAGACGAACCGUCCAAACGUUACUCGGAAUUACUGGGCUUAAAGGGUGCGUAGGCUGCGCGGAAAGUCGGGUGUGAAAGCCCUCAGCUCAACUGGGGAAUUGCACUCGAAACUACCGUGCUCGAGGGAGACAGAGGUAAGCGGAACUCAAGGUGGAGCGGUGAAAUGCGUUGAUAUCUUGAGGAACACCGGUGGCGAAGGCGGCUUACUGGGUCUCUUCUGACGCUGAGGCACGAAAGCCAAGGUAGCAAACGGGAUUAGAUACCCCGGUAGUCUUGGCUGUAAACGAUGAGCACUUGUUUGAAGGGUCCUCCAUAGCCUUUCAGACGUAGCGAAAGUGUUAAGUGCUCCGCCUGGGGAGUAUGGUCGCAAGGCUGAAACUCAAAGAAAUUGACGGGGGCUCACACAA